AUUGAACGCUGGCGGCAGGCCUAACACAUGCAAGUCGAGCGAGCGGCGGACGGGUGAGUAAUGUAUGGGGACUGCCCGAUAGAGGGGGAUAACUACUGGAAACGGUGGCUAAUACCGCAUACUAUCGGAUAACCCAUAUGGGAUUAGCUAGUAGGUGGGGUAAAGGCUCACCUAGGCGACGAUCUCUAGCUGGUCUGAGAGGAUGAUCAGCCAAACUGGGACUGAGAAAAGGCCCAGAUUACUACGGAGGCAGCAGUGGGGAAUAUUGGACAAUGGGGGCAAGCCUGAUGGAGCCAUGCCGGGUGUAUGAAGAAGGCCCUAGGGUUGUAAAGUACUUUCAUCGGGGAGGCGGUACCCGCAGAAGAAGCACCGGCUAACUCCGUGCCAGCAGCCGCGGUAAUAC
rnacentral:rRNA from 1 species